rnacentral:lncRNA from 1 species
AUAAGUAUUUAACUUUGCUAUUUUUUUUUUGAGAGAGAUAGAUAGCACGCUACCUGCUUCGUUUAUUUCAUUUAGAAAUAAACUUAGCUGGAAAUGUGAAUCAACUAGGAUUCGAACUUGAGUCUCGGGUACCAACCAUCAAGUCCUUUGCCACUUGCUCUAUGAACGGACGGUAAGUAUUUAACUUUGCUUCUCUAAGUUUGAACAUCCAUACAGUAAAAAUUUGAGCUCCCCAUAGAUUAACAAUCUCACUUUAGCUAUUUUCCACCUGUAGUAACACCGCAAAGAUAUUUGUAAUGCCUCUCAUCUUAGAACCGGCAUGCCCAACAAUCUAAAACAGUAUGAAUUGUUCUGACAUCCUUGGCUCAAAUACAAUAUUGUAGUUUCGUGACCCCGCUUGCUACGAAAUAACUAGUAAAUAAGUAUUUUAUUAUGAGACGUAUAAUAAACAUUUUAUAGCUAGACUUCACGUGUAAUAUUUUCUUUGUUGGUUAGGAACAAGUAACCUUCUAUAUUUAGUCACUCUAAGUAGUUUUUAUAGGGCAAUUGUAUAUAUACUUCUGAAAAGUUUCCGACUUUCUAAUUUAUCUCUCUUAGAAAGCUAAUAUUGAAAAUAUUUUUUUUGCGUUCCAACCUAUUUCAAAUAUACGAGUUAAAUUUUGUUAAUGAACGGUUAACAAACUGUUAUUUCUAUGAAAUUACUAUUUUGCCCUUUCAAAUAUACCCUUCUACUAUCACCGACAUUUUUUAUUUGCCCUUAAGUUAAAAGUAUUUUGAUUUUUAAUCUUUUCAAAUAUACCCUACUACCGUCACCAACAUUUUUUAUUUGCCCUUAAGUUAAGGGCAAAAUAGGUAAUUUAUUUAUUUUUUUUAACUCUGUUAGAUAUUUAACUUAUAUUUAACUCAAGUUAAUUUAACGGGUGGUAACUGCAAAAGUAUUUUGGAAUAAUGAACAAACAUAUGAGGGGUAUAUUGAAAAGAAAAAAAAUAAAAAUAAUAAGAUAUUUUUAAAGUUUUGAAAGGUAUUUAGGCAAUUAUCCCUAGUUUUU